rnacentral:rRNA from 1 species
UACAGGGGGGGCAAGCGUUGUUCGGAAUCACUGGGCGUAAAGGGUGCGUAGGCGGGUCUUUAAGUCAGGGGUGAAAUCCUGGAGCUCAACUCCAGAACUGCCUUUGAUACUGAGGAUCUUGAGUACGGGAGAGGUGAGUGGAACUGCGAGUGUAGAGGUGAAAUUCGUAGAUAUUCGCAAGAACACCAGUGGCGAAGGCGGCUCACUGGCCCGUAACUGACGCUGAGGCACGAAAGCGUGGGGAGCAAACAGG